rnacentral:rRNA from 1 species
UACGGAAGGCAGCAGUGGGGAAUAUUGCACAAUGGGCGCAAGCCUGAUGCAGCCAUGCCGCGUGUAUGAAAAAGGCCUUCGGGUUGUAAAGUACUUUCAGUCGUGAGGAAGGUGUUAAGGUUAAUAACCUUAGCAAUUGACGUUAGCGACAGAAGAAGCACCGGCUAACUCCGUGCCAGCAGCCGCGGUAAUACGGAGGGUGCGAGCGUUAAUCGGAAUUACUGGGCGUAAAGGGCACGCAGGCGGUUAAUUAAGUUGGAUGUGAAAUCCCCGGGCUUAACCUGGGAAUGGCAUUCAAGACUGGUUAGCUAGAGUCUUGUAGAGGGGGUAGAAUUCCAUGUGUAGCGGUGAAAUGCGUAGAGAUGUGGAGGAAUACCGGUGGCGAAGGCGGCCCCCUGGACAAAGGACUGACGCUCAUGUGCGAAAGCGUGGGGAGCAAACAGGGAUUAGAUACC